GGAUAGCUCAGUUGGUUAGCGUGUGGUGCUUCUAACACCAAGGUUGCAGGUUCAAUUCCCGUAUGGAACA